AACGUAGGACGCAAGCGUUAUCCGGAGUUACUGGGCGUAAAGCGCGGGCAGGCGGCCUCGCAAGUCUGAUGUGAAAGCACUCUGCUCAACAGAGUGAUGCCAUUGGAAACUACGAGGCUGGAGUCUGGCAGAGGUAGGCGGAAUUCCCGGUGUAGCGGUGGAAUGCGCAGAUAUCGGGAGGAACACCCGUAGCGAAGGCGGUUCUCUGGGCCAAUACUGACGCUGAGGAGCGAAAGCGUGGGGAGCAAACAGG
rnacentral:rRNA from 1 species